ACACCUGUUCCCAUCCCGAACACAGAAGUUAAGCCCUACUGCGCCGAUGAUACUGCAUGGGAAACUAUGUGGGAAAGUAGGUCGCCGCCGGAA
rnacentral:rRNA from 1 species